ACACCCUCAGGAAUUUAUUUCCUGGUGUUGGGGAGCCUGUAGGCGUGUCCUAUGAGCCCCUAAAAGCUAGUGGCGGGUUCUGUCAUAUCCCGAGCGUAGUAAUUUUCUCGUUCUGGGUGUAUGGUUGACCCUAGCCUUGCUUUAUUUCUCUCCAA
rnacentral:misc_RNA from 1 species